GACGAACGCUGGCGGCGUGCUUAACACAUGCAAGUCGAACGGAAAGGCCCUGCUUUUGUGGGGUGCUCGAGUGGCGAACGGGUGAGUAACACGUGAGUAACCUGCCCUUGACUUUGGGAUAACUUCAGGAAACUGGGGCUAAUACCGGAUAGGAGCUCCUGCUGCAUGGUGGGGGUUGGAAAGUUUCGGCGGUUGGGGCUGGACUCGCGGCUUAUCAGCUUGUUGGUGGGGUAGUGGCUUACCAAGGCUUUGACGGGUAGCCGGCCUGAGAGGGUGACCGGCGACAUUGGGCCUGAGAUACGGCCCAGACUCCUACGGGAGGCAGCAGUGGGGAAUAUGGCACAAUGGGCGGAAGUCUGAUGCAGCAACGCCGCGUGCGGGAUGACGGCCUUCGGGUUGUAAACCGCUUUCGCCUGUGACGAAGCGUGAGUGACGGUAAUGGGUAAAGAAGCACCGGCUAACUACGUG
rnacentral:rRNA from 1 species